GAUGAAGAACGUAGCGAAAUGCGAUAAGUAAUGUGAAUUGCAGAAUUCAGUGAAUCAUCGAAUCUUUGAACGCACCUUGCGCCCUUUGGCCAUUCCGAAGGGCAUGCCUGUUUGAGUAUCAUGAACACCUCAACUCUUUAUGGUUUUCCAUGAUGAGCUUGGACUCUGGGGGUUUUGCUGGCUCACAGUCAGCUCCUCUAAAAUGAAUCAGCUUACCAGUGUUUGGUGGGUAUCAUGGGUGUGAUAACUAUCUACGCUUGUGGUUUUUCCACCAGGUAACCUUCAGCAGUGGAGGUUCGCUGGAGCUCAUAGAUGUCUCUCCUCAGUGAGGACAGCCCUUUGAAUGUUUGAUCUCAAAUCAGGUAGGACUACCCGCUGAACUUAAGCAUAUCAAUAAGCGGAGGA
rnacentral:misc_RNA from 1 species